GGUCCUGUAGUUCAAUGGAUAGAAUCGCGGUUUCCUAAACCGUUGAUCCGGGUUCGAUUCCCGGCGGGACUACCA
rnacentral:tRNA from 1 species